rnacentral:misc_RNA from 1 species
GAAAUGCGAUAAGUAAUGUGAAUUGCAGAAUUCAGUGAAUCAUCGAAUCUUUGAACGCACAUUGCGCCCGCCAGUAUUCUGGCGGGCAUGCCUGUUCGAGCGUCAUUUCAACCAUCAAGCCCCCGGCUUGUGUUGGGGACCUGCGGCUGCCCGCAGGCCCUGAAAAACAGUGGCGGGCUCGCUGUCACACCGAGCGUAGUAGCAUACAUUCUCGCUCAGGGCGGGCUGCGGGUCCCGGCCGUUAAACGACCUUCAUAACCCAAGGUUGACCUCGGAUCAGGUAGGAAGACCCGCUGAACUUAAGC